CACAAAAAGCCUCAAAAUUUGUUUUAUCAUAUUUUCGCUACAGCCGCAAAUUUCUCCAAUUAGCUCCUGUAUUAAUUGAUCUUAAUCUCCCUCCGAAAUGUUUGAAACGUUGAUUUUGUUAAAUUGCAUUGUCUCAUUUUUCCUAUUAAUUGCACUCUCGCUAGCGAUAGACACAUAUUUGAGCCGGGUUUAUAGUUUACAGAAGCAGAUCGG
rnacentral:lncRNA from 1 species